rnacentral:misc_RNA from 1 species
GAUGAAGAACGUAGCGAAAUGCGAUAAGUAAUGCGAAUUGCAGAAUUCAGUGAAUCAUCGAAUCUUUGAACGCACAUUGCGCCCGCUAGUAUUCUGGCGGGCAUGCCUGUCUGAGCGUCAUUUCAACCCUCGCCCCCGACUUUUGCUGGGAGCGGUGUUGGGGAUCGGCCGCCCGUCACUGGGAGGCCGGCCCCGAAAUAGAGUGGCGACCACGCCGUGUGCUCCUCUGCGUAGUAGUAAAUCACCUCGCAGGCGGACAGCGGUGCGGCCUGCCGUAAAACCCCCAACUCUUUCUGGUUGACCUCAGAUCAGGUAGGAAUACCCGCUGAACUUAAGCAUAUCAAUAAGCGGAGGA